rnacentral:lncRNA from 1 species
GUGGGAUUGUGUUUUUUGUAUUUGUCAAUAAAAGUGGUUUAUUAUGGAUCAGUGAGCUAAGAUAUAUAUAUAUAUAUGUUGAAAACUUUAUGAACAAGAGAAAUACAAGACCAGAUAUUCGAUGAGAAGACGAAUACGGUGAGAAUAAAAGUAGUGUGCUGCAGUCCUGAAAAGAUUAGGGACAAACUAUGCUGCAAAGGUGAAGGUUCAAUCAAGAGUAUUGCAAUCCUGGAACCUGAAAAGCCUAAACCACCACCACCAAAACCCAAAGAACCCGAGAAGCCAAAAGCACCUGAGAAACCCAAAGAACCCGAGAAGCCAAAACAACCUGAAAAACCCAAAGAACCCGAGAAGCCAAAACAACCUGAGAAACCCAAAGAGCCGGAGAAACCCAAAGAGCCCGAGAAACCUAAAGAGCCCGAGAAACCUAAAGAGCCUGCGAAACCCAAAGAGCCAGAAAAGCCUAAAGAGCCACCAAAACCAUCACCACCGGCACCUGCACCGGCACCGGCACCGGCACCUGCACCAGCACCGGCUCCAGUUCCGUGUCACCCGCCGGUCGGGGUGUGCUGCAGGGAAUGUUAUGAGGGGCGCGGUGGGGGACCAUGUUACGAUCUUGGCUAUGGGCAAACGAGGCAUUAUGAUGGGUACUGUGGAAGGCCAGUGUAUGAGGGUUGGGCUGGCGGCUGCGAUACUAGAGGUUAUUACAGAAGUCGUUGCUCAGAUUACAUCUGUGAAGAAAAUCCAACAGCGCCUUGCACCAUCAUGUAAAUUCAUAUUACAUAUACAAAUCCAAUCCAUGCUACUGCCUACCGCCACCCACCAAUGAUCGUGAAUGGUGAUUGUCGGUGAUCAUGUCCUUUUCUUCUAGUUGCCUCUUGUAUGUUGUUGAUUUAAUCAUUUACUUUUUUUUUAUGAUGAUAAUAAAUAACAAUAAUGAUAUAGACUUUAUAGGAAGGAAAAUAAUAGCUAAAUAAAAGCAAGAUUGGUGGAUCCGUUGAUCAAUUUGUUGAUGCUACAAUUAAUUUAAUAAGAGGUUUCCAUUAAUAUUGAUUGCCUUUUCAAUUAAUUAUGCAUUUCCGAUUCCUAACCUUGUCCUUCACUUUCUGAUCGUGCACAUACGUAUGCCCUUUCUUAUUAUUUUAGUGAUGUCCUCCUGUUAAAGAUAUAUGUAGUCCGCUAGAGUCGCAGUCUUCUAGUUUUAUUUAAUGCUUUAUAAAAGGUGAGUAGUGCUUUUCGUUUUCGAAUGAAAUUUUGGAGACCAUAGAUUUUUAAAAUGCCUCUUUUUUUUUUUACUUCUCUCAAGUCCUUGACUCAAUUUCACCGUCUAGAAACGCCAAUGACAAAGGCACUCAAUUCACUCAAAUUUAAUUGAGCUGUCUUUUUAAAUUUAUCUUUUAAGAUAAGAGUCAAUGAUUUAAGCUAGUCAAGGUUAUUGCAAAUGAUUAAUGAGAAUGUUACUGAGAGCGGGGACAACGAGUUUACGGAAGAGCAAAUGCGAUAAACAAUGCGAAACCUCCAAGUUUUAUGGUCAUAAAUCUAUCGUAAGUAAAUCAGUAGAUUUUUUACAUGAAAAAAAAAACAAUUAAUAAAGAUAUAUAAGGAUGUAACUGUCCUUUUAUGAUUGUGUAAAUAUUUUUAACUAACUUAGAAUUCAAUGAAGGAUUUGAAUGGAACAAAUUGGGAAUUUGAAAUGGUUAAUUGUUAAGUGAUGCAUUUUAAAAUCGUAAUUUCAAUCUUUGAGUUUCUUUUCAAAAAGAAAAAUACAAGUAAGUAAAUUGAAGGAAACAAAAGGAGAUCAUUUCGAGCACGCUUCUAUGACAAGAAAAGGAAACAUUACACAAGUAGAAGAAACGCAACGUGGGGUAUUGUAGUUUGGUCCUAGCUUGUUUGGUGACGGAUUAGGCUUGAUUGGUACUGGUCGAGCUUCAAAAUAUGCCAUAGAUAGAGAGGCUACAGUCGUUAUUUAUCUGAAAAUUAAUUAAAAUGGAUGGAGAAAUUAAGACACCACACAGCCACUAAAAUCAGUAGACAAUAUCCUCCUCCUCUGAUUGAUAUUAGGGCCCCUUUUGAGAUUGCAUUUUAGAGGUUCAAAAAUAAUUUUAAAAAAUUAAUAAUUAAUUUUAUUAUCUAGUAAUUUUUUUAAUUUAUUUUUUGUAAGAUUACUCCAUCUUAAAAGAUAUUUUGAAAAGUAGGGAAGGUGUAACUUUUCAAAAAUUUAAUUUUGAGAAUCGGUUUUAUACUUAAUACAAUUACAUAUAUGUCCUCACAUAUUUUGUAAAAAUCUAAAAUUAUCCUUAUCAAUUGGGAAAUAAAAUCGCUACAUUUAAAGAUAUCAUUAUUAUUACCAAUUAUAUUUAAAUAACAAAUAAAAAUAAAAUUAAUAAUAUUAAAAUAUUCAUUUUAAUUAAAUUAAAGUAUAUAGAUGAUAAAAAAUAAUUUAUUUAUAUAUUUAUAAAUGUGUAAGCAAAUUUUAUUUAUCAUUACAUCCAUUUCAGUUAUUUGUAUUUUUACAACAGUUUAACAAUAAAUUUACCAAACACUUAUGACUGUUUUUGAAGCACACGAAAUUUUUUUAAAUAAAUUUACCAAAUAUUUAACAGACUCUCUUCACAAUUAUUUAUUACUACAGCAUAGUUAACAACGAUGAUUUUAAAAACUAUAAUAUUACCAAACUGACUGUAAGUGUUAAAUUUUCACUUGUUAUUGGCAUGCAUGGACCUGGACCCUCUCUAUAUGUAUAUACAUCUUAUAUAUGCUAGUUGCUACUUUUGUUAUAGUUAAUGUAUUUGACUAAGUAAACUAUAUAUUAAAAGGAAAAUGAAGGUGGAGAUGAAGGCAGAUGCAUGCCUGGAUGGAAAGGAAUCAUACGUAUAUACAAAUUCUAAAUUCCUUUAUUAUUAAUUAUUAAGCUGCUGCUUUGUUGGUCGGUACCCCAUCUAAAUCCAAUUGAAUUCAGUACACACACAUGGUCAUGCAUGCAUUUCCAGUUCAAAUCCAUGUGCUAAUUUAAGUAGAAGAUUGUUCAAUUAUUUUAAUGAACUCCCUUUUGGUGAUUUUAAUAUUUGAGCAAUCCAUUGAGGAGGUUUUACUCCUUUUAUGGUUUAAUUGCUACUAUAUAUAUAUAUAUAUAUAUUUUUAUUUUUUUUUUGCUAACUUUCGAAUACAAUAAAAUCAUUGGCGAUGUGGUUUAAUGGCAACGAGGCCCCUUUUAAUACAAAAAUUCGUGACGUGUUUAACUGGAUCGGGCCUCUGGGAAUCUAGCCCAAAUGAAUUAGAUUCAUUAAUUUCUUUCUUUCCUAUUUUGUGGGGUGGGAUAUGGCGGGAAAAUAUAUUAGUAAAUCCAAACAAUAAUACUAAAUGGGGAAAAUUUGUGGUGCAACUGUGGUACCGUGUCACAUUCACAUCCAGCUGUUGGAUUCUAAUGGACUCCACUCAUCUAAGUAUAUCCAACGGCUGGAUGCAGCUGUGGCACAGUACCACAGUUGCACCAUAGCCGGACCCUACUAAAUGCAGCUAAAUUAUCUCAAUAUUUCAUUCCAAUUGCUAAGUGAUGAAUAUCAUUAUCUGUGUUCGGGUUGAUUUUUGGACCUAUAAAUAAAGGACAUAUAGAUGAUUAUAUUAUUUAGACACAAUAUUUAGAGCAAUAUAAGGAUGUCACAAGAAAGAAUUUAUUCCAUUUGAUGAGCUUUAAAAUUUAGAGUAAUAAUAUAGCCAUAAAUUUUUGUACAAAUUUAUUUUGUACAAACUGAUAUGGUAUAAUAAAAUUGAUUGAAUUAAAUAUUUCUUGGCCCACAUGAUCUAUUUUUAUUAUUUUGUAUUUUUAUUCAACCAAUGAAUUAAUGUCAAAUCAGUUUGUAAAGAGAUAAGUUUGUACAAGAAUUUAUGGUUGUAUCAUUGAGAUAAGACUUUUAAAACAUAUUUUUGGAAAGAAUAGUACAAAAAAAAUAAUUUUCUACCUUUUCUUAAAUGCGACAUAUAACUUAAAGAUAUUCUCCCUUUUUUUUUUAACCUAAGCAUGCCAUUUAACUCUAAAAAUUUAUCCACUCUCUUUACCACUAGCCUCUGCCAUAUAAAUGCCAUAUUUUUCAAAAUGGAGAGUGUCCUUUAUGUUUGGGGCUCCUUUACCUCCUUCUUCGAUCAUCAUCCACUUUUUUGUUUUUUGGAGGCUAUUUCUACCAUUUUCUAUUCUUCAUUUUUAUCAUCUCUUCCACCGUAUUGUUAUCACUCUAGCUCUACAUCUUCAUUCACUAUCUCUAUCUUUAACAACGCCCACAUCUCCAUACAAACAUCCAACUCAUUUUAUGUAUAUCUGCUAAUCUCACGUGAAUGUAAGCCAAAAGAUGAACCAUAUAGUGUAUGUGUGCUCUUUAAAUUUGUGUUUGUUUUACUAUAUCUACAAUUUGAAGUUCAAAUCAUAUUUCAAAUGUAAGCCACAUGAAGUACUUUAGUUUUCCUUGUGAUCUCUUUUGAGCUCCACUUAACUCACUUGAGUUAUCCAACUCUCCAUAUUGCUUAACCUAUCAAUGGCUUACCUUGUUGUUCCUCCACUAAAUAAAACAAAUCUUCAUAUUGCUUAACCUAUCAAUUUAUGGAGGUGAAUGUGGCUGAUUCAGGGGCUGCCGUGACUGGAGAAAGACGCCAGCGAGGAGAGGAGACUCCAGCGGUGGUAGAACACAACUGGCUGCCCGUGCAGCCAUGGGCGGCUGAUCAAAGUUUACAUUCGGAUCCGGUAUAGAAUUUCCAUUUGGGUCUAGAAUCGGAAAAGUCGAACCUAGACCCGAACCGGAACUCGAAUUUUGCCAUCCCUAUUCUAAAGAAGGAUUCAAAAAAAUUAAAAUAACCUGCAUUGAGUUCGAAUUAAUUCCAACCACAAAUUCUUCAAAACCUUCUGACAGCGUGAUCAACUGCCAAAAGUUAUGCAUAGAAGGCUAUUUGUUGCCCUGCCCCUAAAAAUGGUCAAAAUUUCCAAGUUAGGAGCCUUCAUAGCAGCGAAAAAUAGUCCUGAACGCCGAGGGACCAGGAUUAAUUUUCCUUAAAAAAGACCAUCCGCAUUGACAUUCAUCCAGUCUACAUGAGGGCGAAAAUACGUACUUAAUGCACGCAUUGUGUUAUUCUUUGAUCAUCGUGCACAUCCUCCACAUAAAACUAAUUAAAAGUAGUGUAUAAGAAAACUAUCUUAUACUAAUGAUUGGGUAAGAUUUCCACACAUCUGAUGCUCGAUCACAAGAAGGCAGGAUACUAAUGGUGAAGAUAAAUUAUAAUUUGGAUUAUUUGAAUAUUUAACAUAGAUAGCCAAUCAGGGAAAAGAAAAAAAAAAAAAAAGAAGAUAGAUGGAGAUCAAGACAGAUGGUUAAGUAGACAAAAUUAAAUAAUCAACUCUACAAAUGUGAUAACUUGCUUAUCAUUAUGACUUGUUCAACAAAUUUAAAGAAGUCUCUAUCUGUGGCAUUAUUUAUCUGGAGCUCUUCGAGAAGGUUUCAAUCGAUCCUUAACUUUUUAUUAAUUUGUGGCAUUAUUUAUUAAAUAUUUAGGUUAUAACGAUAAUGAUGUCGACUUCUUUCUUUUUUUCAAAAAACUAAAUUUAAAGAUAGGAAAAAAAAAUCGUAAAAGCUUGUUAAAAUCUGAAAGGAUGCGAGUAAAAUGAACUCUUUCUGAAGAAUUUAUAAGUGCGGCAUUAUUAAAGGUUGGAAAUUAUAUAGUUAAUUAGAAUAUUCGGAGGAGGACGACGACUGAACUGUGAUUGACUCACUAAUGAGAGAUUGAUUAAAAAUAAAAUUUAAUGUACAAAAAGGGAAAAAAAAAAAAAGAAAGAAAAGAAAAGAAAACUGACAUUAAACGAUAAUAUAUUAAGAAAGAAAAGAAAAGAAAACUGACAUUAAAUGUACAAAAAGGGAAAAAAAAAAAAAGAAAGAAAAGAAAAGAAAACUGACAUUAAACGAUAAUAUAUUAAAGGAGUAGUAGUGUUCUAAAUUUUAACAGCUGUAAUCAGAAGAAAUCUGCGAUAUGAUGCAUGUUCCAGUGGACAAAAUGAACUUGUAUCCAGAGAAAUAUGAACAUAUGUUUACCUAAUAUUCUACCUACGUGUCUGACGACCCCAAAUUUGUUUGCUUUGACAACUAAUACUGUACGUGUAUGCGAAUGUGAGCGUGACGUCUUCUUAAGAUGUAUAUAGUUUUCGGCCAUUUCAUUCAGUAAUAUAACGUCAAACGAUUAAUCAUCAGUAGCCGAGUAUUCAGAUCGGAUCACAAGACCAUGCCUGACAAGGUUUGCAAAUCUUUUUACUCAUCUUUUACUUUGCUAGAUCUGCUCUUUCUUCAUUCCCCAAUCCCCAUUUUGUUCAAUUUCAUUUCUCUAGCUACGACGAUCACUUUAGUUUCCUGUGAUGAAUCACAUAAAUACAAAAUGUUAAUGAUUGUGUGUGUGUGUGUGUAUCACACAUGCUGUUUACUUUGUGGCAGCUGCAGGUUACAACAAUGGUGCUGAAGGUUGACCUUCAGUGCUCAAAGUGCUAUAAGAAAGUCAAGAAAGUACUUUCCAAAUUCCCACGUAAGUAAUUUAAUUGAAUUUCUCUGCUAUGUCUACACAUAUAUAUUUUGUGAAAAUGAAAAAUUAAUGUUAUUGAUGAUCAGUGGGCUAAGGGUCGUAUGUAUGUAUGUAUGUUGUGUUGAAUUUUGUGAACAAGAGAAAUACAAGACCAGAUAUACGAUGAGAAGCAAAACAAAGUGACAAUCAAAGUCGUUUGCUGCUGUCCCGAAAAGAUGAGGGACAAGAUAUGCUGCAAGGGUGAUGGCGUAAUCAAGAGCAUUGAAAUCAAAUCACCUGAUGAUCAGAAGAAGAAGAAGGAGGAGCCUGCUGAUAAGAAAGAGCCCGAAAAGAAGAAAGAAACACCUCAGACUGAGAAGAAAAAAGAAAAAGCAGAAGAGUCGAAACCUAAAAAUAAGGAGCCUGCGCCUGAGAAAGGAAAAGAAAAAGAUCAGCCAGAGAAAAAGAAAGAACCUAAAGAUACACCUAAGCCUAAGGUUGAC